UCGGCGAAUGCCGGUGGAACUACAGAUUGUUAAUCUCCGUGUCGCGGGUUCGAAUCCCGCUCGCCCGAGCCCCUUGGGGGACGGACGAUAGCUCAGUCAGGUAGAGCAGGCGUUUCACCAAACCUUUGUCGUCGAGAC
rnacentral:Y_RNA from 1 species